UACUUGGUUGAUCCUGCCAAGGAAGCACACUUAGGUCAUAGAUUAAGCCAUGCAAGUGUUAGUUCAGGUAACGAAACUGCGAAUAGCUCAUUAAUACGCUCAGAAUCUAUUUGGCGGCGACCAACAGGUCUUAAAUGGAUAGCAGCAGCAACUCUGGUGCUAAUACAUGCGAUUGUUUCUCCAGAUGUGAAUUUAUGGAGGAAAAGUUGACCUCAUCAGAGGCACGCCAUUCGACUGAGUGACCUAUCAGCUUGUACUUAGGGUCUUUACCU
rnacentral:ncRNA from 1 species